GUUUCCUAUUCAAUGAAUGAAAAAAUCAAAAUGUUUGAGUAUUUGGGUGUCAUUAAUUCUAAGAAGAAUCAAACCAUAAGAAACUUGCAAAAUCAAAUUGAUCUUCUUGAAACUGAUUUAUCCAUCAAAAAUAGUAUUAUUGAGUCCACUCAGGAAAAUCUUAGAAUUACCAGUUUGUCAAAUUCAUCCUUGUCUGCUGAAAUUGACGAUGUUAAAAAUCUCUUGAUUAAAGAACAAACUGUGCUCCACACUUGGGCAAAAUCUCAUAAGAAUGCCAAUUAUAUUAUCUCAGCUCAAAUUCCUCAUUCUUGUGAAAAAAUUCUUGGGGGUAAUUUUGCCGAAGCUGAAAAGGUUUUUAAAUCACAAGAAAAGGAAUCUGAGGUCUAUUCCAUGAAUGAGAUGAAAAACAAUUUCAAAAAUAAGUUUGUCAGUAAUUCUUUUAUUAAUCAAAGUUUAAUUGAUGAAUAUUGUACUAUUAAUUCUGAUGGUAUUACUGAGUGUAAUGUUGAAAUUACCGGAAUUGAUCCUACAUCUUAUCCUGCACAUCUUGUUAGACCAACCCCUCUAACUGAGAAUAUUAUUGCUUUUCCUAUCUCUAAUGGAGUGUUUCAUGCUGUUCAUGAACAACUCAAGCACUUCCCUGAUUGCAAUCCAUCUGUGAAUGAGUCNNNNNNNNNNNNNNNNNNNNNNNNNNNNNNNNNNNNNNNNNNNNNNNNNNNNNNNNNNNNNNNNGAUAAAGACAAAAGUACUUUUGACACUGAUAUGUCUGAUGCUGAAAAUUCCAGGAAGCACAACAUUGACUCUUCUUCAAUGUACCAGGUUAAAAACUUUGUUUCCUAUUCAAUGAAUGAAAAAAUCAAAAUGUUUGAGUAUUUGGGUGUCAUUAAUUCUAAGAAGAAUCAAACCAUAAGAAAUUUGCAAAAUCAAAUUGAUCUUCUUGAAACUGAUAUAUCCAUGAAAAAUAGCAUUAUUGAGUCCACUCAGGAAAAUCUUAGAAUUACUAGUUUGUCAAAUUCAUCUUUGUCUGCUGAAAUUGACGAUGUUAAAAAUCUUUUGAUCAAAGAACAAACUGUGCUUCACACUUGGGCAAAAUCUCAUAAGAAUGCCAAUUAUAUUAUUUCAGCUCAAAUUCCACAUUCUUGUGAGAAAAUUCUUGGGGGUAAUUUUGCAGAAGCUGAAAAAGUUUUUAAAUCACAAGAAAAGGAAUCUGAGGUCUAUUCCAUGAAUGAGAUGAAAAACAAUUUCAAAAAUAAGUUUGUCAGUAACUCUUUUAUUAAUCAAAGUUUAAUUGAUGAAUACUGUACUAUUAAUUCUGAUGGUAUUACUGAGUGUAAUGUUGAAAUUACCGGAAUUGAUCCUACCUCUUAUCCUGCACAUCUUGUUAGACCAACCCCCAUAAUUGAGAAUAUUAUUGCUUUUCCUAUAUCUAAUGGAGUGUUUCAUGCCGUUCAUGAACAACUCAAGCACUUCCCUGAUUGUAAUCCAUCUGUGAAUGAGUCAAAAUCAGAUACUGAUAGUUCAUCUCCCAACACUGAUCAAACUCCUUCUGACACUGAACUCAGUCGUGACUCAGUGAUAAACAAAAGGACUCAAAGCUCUAUUGGUGAAUCUUACAUAUCA
rnacentral:lncRNA from 1 species